rnacentral:rRNA from 1 species
UACGGAGGGUGCGAGCGUUGUCCGGAAUCAUUGGGCGUAAAGGGCGCGUAGGUGGCCCGGUCAGUCUUUGGUGAAAGCGCGGGGCUCAACCCUGCGUCGGCCAGGGAUACUGCCGCGGCUCGAGCACUGUAGAGGCAGGCGGAAUUCCGGGUGUAGCGGUGGAAUGCGUAGAGAUCCGGAAGAACACCGGUGGCGAAGGCGGCCCACUGGCUCGAUACUGACGCUGAGGUGCGAAAGCGUGGGGAGCAAACAGG